UGACUGUGUCGAGCUCCACAGAUCCCAGCAGGGAGCCACUCUGCGGAGCAGUCUGGCUGUGUCCUCCUUUCUUAGGAGUGGACAGCAACAGAUGGCUGACACACAGCCUGACUCAACUCUGUCCCUUAGACGAGAACCACAUCCACUGGCCAGCCUCUCACUGAUAACACAGAAGAGCCCUGGACUCUGUUUCUGCCAAGUCCUAUCCUAUGGAUGGACAGACAAGAGCAUGUGGAAAGCUCGGCCAGACCUGAAUCCCUCCCUGCGGCUGGAGAGGUAGCUCAUUGUUCAUCUCUCUUUGGAGAAACAGAAGCUCCAUCUUCU
rnacentral:lncRNA from 1 species